AGUACUGUGAAACUGCGAAUGGCUCAUUAAAUCAGUUAUCGUUUAUUUGAUUGUACCAUUACUACUUGGAUAACCGUAGUAAUUCUAGAGCUAAUACAUGCGAAAAGUCCCGACUUCUGGAAGGGAUGUAUUUAUUAGAUUAAAAACCAAUGCGGGUUCUGCCCGGUGUCUUUGGUGAUUCAUAGUAACUGAUCGAAUCGCACGGCCUUGCGCUGGCGAUGUUUCAUUCAAAUUUCUGCCCUAUCAACUGUCGAUGGUAAGGUAGUGGCUUACCAUGGUUGCAACGGGUGACGGAGAAUUAGGGUUCGAUUCCGGAGAGGGAGCCUGAGAAACGGCUACCACAUCCAAGGAAGGCAGCAGGCGCGCAAAUUACCCAAUCCUGACUCAGGGAGGUAGUGACAAGAAAUAACAAUACAGGGCUUUUAC
rnacentral:rRNA from 2 species